rnacentral:lncRNA from 1 species
GAUACCCAAGAGAUGAAUUAAUACAUUAUAUACUCUUAGUUAGACCCCUGUUUGUACUGUAUAUGGAUUUAGAGCUAAUUAAGUUAGCCAAACCUUGUAAGAUAUAAUUGGAUUUGUAGCCAAAGAUAUAAAUAAUAGUGAGGAUACCCAAGAGAUGAAUUAAUACAUUAUAUACUCUUAGUUAGACCCCUGUAUUAAAUUAUUAUUAGCUACAUUAAUUAUUUUCUCUCAGAUGUUUAGCAAUCAUGUUAUACAAACAAAUUUUUUUGGGGUUAAAUAUAGUUCAGAUUUUUAUAUCAUCUUUAUUGGAGUUGAUCAUUUAGGCUUCAGUCUUUGUUUUAUGGAUAUUAUUUUUGUUUUUAACAAGUUCUCAAGUUGGCUGCAACAUGUCAAUAACUCCUUAUCUGUCUUCAUAAACUGAAGAAGAACGCCAACAAAACAGAAGUCUAGAAGAUUUGACGUACGGAGUGAUGUGAAGGAUGUAAGCAGGGGUAAAAGGGGAAAUCAAAUAAAAUAUAUUUUUUUUUUAUAAUUAUUAUAUCAAAAUCUCAUGUUCUUGACAUAUUUUAUUAAAAACUUUCAAGUUCAUGUUUUGUGAUGAGUUGGAAAAUCAAUUCCCCACUGAGUUUUGUUUAAAUCAAAGGUGAUAAUAGUGUGUGUAAAUGUUGAACUCAAAUUUAACUUAAAUAAAAACAUGAUCGGAGUUUUUCUUUUUUUAAAUUUUCUUCUAGAAAUCUUGAAUUAAUCUAAUGUUAAAUUGUAAUGUAGUAUUAUUGAUGCUUUAACACAAACGUAACGUAUAUCCAUGGUGUGAGUUUUGAGAGAGAACAAAAUUUGAUCUUACCUUAAAGUUUCAUAUUAACUUUAUGAUCCUUCCUAGUAUAAGAAGAAAUGAAGCUUCACUUAUAUAUUGUAGAGUAGAAUAUAAAGUUUAGCUCUUAAAUAAAAGAGAAAUAUUUCCUCGCAAUAUUGAUCAAUCUAGAGAUUAUAAAUAACAAUAGGUGUUUCACUUCAUCAAGUUUUGUUUUUCACAUUCAGUUGUUAUCCAUUUAUAUCUUUUGUAGAGUAAAAAUAACGUUUUUAUAUUAAUCCCCCACACCUUUGAUUACUCCAAAAUAACUUGUUUUAUGUUUGAAUUAAUUAGUGAUGUUUCUUCAUUUACUUUUAGCCAUAUACAUUUACCUUGAUUAUCAAUUAUUGAGUAACCUAUUCUGAACAGUCGUAUCUCAGUUCUCUCUGUGGUAAUAAUGAUCCAAGUUAUGAAAUUAUAUUGCACAACUUUUCUUUGGUAUUUUUGAAAGAAAAAAAAUGCUUUUUGUAAAAUGAUUUGUUAAGGCUACAGCUAUGGAUUGAGCUCUGUAAAAACUAAACCAAAUCAAGUUUAUGUGGUCAGUUGUUGCUCAUAAAUGGUUCUAUUUGUUGUUGGUAAAGUAUUAUCUAUGUGGUGUGAGAGAAGUUUAAAUAAAAUACUCAGCAGUUUAGAACUUAUUGUGUUCAUUCAAUAAAAUAAAAGUUUGUAACAUAUAACAUGGAAGUGUUUUGUUUUUAUAUAGUAAUUAGGAAUUGUACUUAGAUUUUGUUUAAUUCUCAUUAGCAAACAGUAGUGUUUGUAUCCUUUAUCUGCCUGAGUUACUUGCUGAUAUUUUAAGUUCUACCUAACCCUUGCUUAUCGACUUAGGUAGUGUUUGUAUCCUUUAUCUGCCUGAGUUACUAACUAAUAUUUUAAGUUCUACCCAACCCUUGCUUAUCGACUUAGGUAGUGUUUGUAUCCUUUAUCUGCCUGAGUUACUAACUAAUAUUUUAAGUUCUACCCAACCCUUGCUUAUCGACUUAGGUAGUAUUUGUAUCCUUUAUCUGCCUGAGUUACUUACUAAUAUUUUAAGUUCUACCAACCCUUGCUUAUCGACUUAGGUAGUAUUUGUAUCCUUUAUCUGCUUGAGUUACUAACUGAUAUUUUAAGUUCUACCCAACCCUUGCUUAUCGACUUAGGUAGUGCCCUCAACUGUAUUAUAGCACAUGUAAUUAUCAGUAACAUUUGUUUUCAGUAGUCCAAUCCAAAUGUUGAAGAUUGUAAGAAUGUACUUAGAAGUGCAUUUUGAGGAAAAGGAAAAUUCUGCUUAUAAUUUCUGGUUCUUGUCUUCCUGUAGUUUAUAAAGUGAUUUCAUGACUGUCAUUUCACUGAAAGGCUUUAACAUUAAGUCAACUUCACAAAAAACUGGCAAACAUUCAGUGUGUUUUUCAUAAAAUAUAAUGCAGUCCUGCUGUAGUUUAGAUAAUUGAAAUAGUCUUCCUUAACCAACUGAUUAACUCAAACAAACCUAUUAAUAAGUUGUGUAGGCCCUUUCAUGAAAGAGUAGGGAUCAUCUUUGCUUUUUUUUACUUUUUUAUUGAUACCUUCUAAUAAAACGUGUGUAAAACAUGAAUGUUUCUCCUUUAAGAAUUUAUUUUAAUUUGUAUUUUUGUGUAACCUAAGCACGUUUCUGUGUUAUACCAUUUAUAUUUUGUCAUCACACAACUUCUGUAAAAGUGUUCCUGUGUUUGGGUGGGGGAGUCUGUGGAGGUACCAGUUGUUGCAAAUUAAGGGGUUAAAUUUUAUGCCCUUUAAAAGUCUAAAUGUGGUAUUAUGAAUUUGUAGUAAACAAUGCAAUAAUUAGUUUUUUAAAAAAGAGGAUUUGAUUUUACUACUUAGAAAGAAAUGAUUUUUGUUCUACAGUCUACAUCUAUGAUAAAUUCCAAUCAAUUAAAGGUCAAACAUUGUUUGAUUUUUGUACAUAAUUCCAGUAUGUCUCUUUGAUCGUGCUUCGAAGUAUUUCCGAUGUAUGCUUUGGACACGUGCCUAACAAAUAUGCCUUGGAUGUAUGACUUUACACAAAACUGUGGUGUUCAUUGAAUUUUUUGUUUGUUUCAGAAACAAGUGUUUUCAUCAUGAUCUCUCCAAAAAGAUAAAACAUCCAUUUUUAUUGUUAUUUCUGUUAUUUUAUGAAUUGCAUGGAAGAAUUCUGUGAUGUACACUUAACUGUGGAAUCUUUGGUAAAGUUGAAGUUGUCUUGAACUA